rnacentral:lncRNA from 1 species
AAUUUUUAGGACUUGAAAGCUUGUAAAACCCGAGAAACCAUAACCUCCAACUUGAGGUACUAUUCAUGCACACGUAAAUGUGUAUUUUUUUGAGAGUUUUGAAGUUAUAAGGAGCUUUAGAUCAUCUUCACGAGGCUCGGAGAAGAAAAAUGAAGUGAUUUGGAUGUCGGGAAGCUCGGGAAUAGGGAGUUGCAGGUUUAGCCGGAAUAUCGAAGGAUUUUCCGGCGAGUUUCGUCGGUUUUAGGACUUUUGAAAGGUAAGGUUUUAUUCUACUUGUCCUAAGCUUCAAUUUGGUUCAAGUUUCGUGGAAUUUGGUUGAGAAUUGGACGAGAUAUGAAGGUUUUCAUGAUUUUUCAGUUUCCGGUGAACGGCGACGGCAACUGGCGAGGCUAACCGAAGAAUAAGAUAGAAUAUUUCAUCAUAGUUGAUGGAAUAUUCUGACGCCGUCAGGUAGAAUUAACGGUUUAUGUUACUUUUUAACGGAAUAUUCCACAGAAUAUUCCAAACGGGGUUAGGGGAUUCCGUUAAGGUCCCUGCUUGUGGCCGCGCAUGGGACGUCGGAAAAUUUUUCUAAAAAUAUGGGGAUGUUCGUGAGGUUGUGUAGAUCACAUUGGUAUAUUCAAACAUCCCAUUUGAGCAAUGUAUGAGAAGUUAUUAGCUAGUAUUGGUUAUGUGAUUUAAAUUAACGUUUUUAUAGUUUUUUCGCAUAUAGGGAAGACUUAUCCCGAGGACGAGCGCAGUCAAGGGCGACUCGGGGGCUACGACUCUUCGACGUACCAGUGAGUAG